rnacentral:rRNA from 1 species
CGUAGGGUGCGAGCGUUAAUCGGAAUUACUGGGCGUAAAGCGCGUGUAGGCGGUUGUCCAAGUUGGAUGUGAAAGCCUUGAGCUCAACUCAAGAAAUGCAUUCAGGACUGGAUGACUAGAGGACCGGAGAGGAUAGUGGAAUUCCCAGUGUAGUGGUGAAAUACGUAGAGAUUGGGAAGAACACCAGUGGCGAAGGCGGCUAUCUGGACGGUUUCUGACGCUAAGACGCGAAAGCGUGGGGAGCAAACAGGAUUAGAUACCCUGGUAGUCCACGCCGUAAACGAUGGGUGCUAGACGUUGGCGAGCUUGCUCGUCAGUGUCGCAGCUAACGCGUUAAGCACCCCGCCUGGGGAGUACGGCCGCAAGGUUG